GAUGAAGCACCGGUUCUCAUAUGAUCACCAAAGUUAAGCAAUGUCGAGCCCGGUCAGUACCUAAAUGGGUGACCACUUGGGAGUACCAGGUGCUGUAAG